AAGCCCAGGCGUCACAUUCCGGGUUUGAGAGAAACCCGAGUUCCGUCCCAGCGCGGAGCUCUGCAGGGGCGGGGCUGCGUGUGCGGCGUCAUGACGUCAGCGCACGCUGACGCGCCGGAGGGUAGGAAUGCGGCAGGCGGAAAACUUGGGAAGAAAAGAGUCGUGAUGCUUCCCGCCGAGGACGUAUUUUCCGAGGGGGCCCGAGGUGGUGGAUGAGGGUGGGCGGGUUGCCCUGGGAUGAGGAAUCCUCUCCCGUGCCGAAUUACGCGGGCGCCUCCGUCCCUUCAGCAGAUUCCGCCUGGAGAGUUCUUAGGCAUGGACCUUUUCGAGGUUCAGAAAUUCAGAUACCUGUCUAGCCACACUUAAAAGAAGAUCUAUAAGGGACUGCUAGUCUCACACGGCAACAAUCAUCUGGAACUAUAUAGUGGUUGGCUACCCAGUGGAGGUUCUGCUUUCAGGUAAACCCAAAAGUUGUCAUUGAUAUUUGAGUUCUCUGUACAGAAACCUGGAUAUCUUGGCACUUGGUCCCUCUAGAGAACUAUGGCUGGGGAGAUGUGGCAACAAACUGAUGGUUUUGAGUAUGGAAUAAAAUACUGCAGCAAACAGAGACAGGAUGCUGAAAUGCUGAACUGAUGAUUUAAACCCACAUGAUGAAGGACUCUGACAGCAACCAGGUUGAUUGAAGAAGGAAGGGAUGUGAGGAAGGUGAAAGUGCUUCUGAAAGAGUAUUUGAAGUGACAAGCCAUGGAGGUCAGACUGAAGAGUGAAAAGAAGCGAUGCAACAAUGGGGCUGAUGCAACAAUGGGGCUGAUAAGUCGGCAAGAGAAGAAAGAUCAAGAACCUAUAAGUAUUUGUUAGUCAAACGUCAAUAAAGCUGGUAAGACAAAAGAAACAAUAGGUCUCCGUAUGACCUGAGAACAAUAGUGGUGAAGGUUAGAGUAUGUUGGAGGUGGAAGAGAGAGAAUGGUAAGUCAAUUGGAGUCAAAGAUUUCCAGUGUGGAGUAGUUUCUAGCAUGGUCAUGUGUGAGUCUAAACCGGAGUGAAGGAUGUAUGUCACUUGAGUAAGUCAUGAAAGUGUGAGGUUUGGGAGUUGAAUGGUUCUCCCAAAGUGAAGUUAUCAGAAUGCAGGCACAAUAUGGGGUUUAGAGGUAGAUAAGAGCCUAGAACUGCAGGCUCUUCUUAUAAAUGCAGAAUAGUAACUAUAAACUGGAAGAUAAGAAAGAAAAGUGGUAGGACACUGAGGUAACUCAUUUGGUUAAGC